UACAGAGGUCUCGAGCGUUAGGCGGAAUCACUGGGCUUAAAGCGUGUGUAGGCGGAUCGUUAAGUACCUUGUGAAAUCCCACGGCUUAACCGUGGAACUGCUUGGUAUACUGGCGGUCUUGAGCCAGCUAGGGGCUACCGGAACAAAUGGUGGAGCGGUGAAAUGCGUAGAUAUCAUUUGGAACGCCAAUGGUGAAAACAGGUAGCUGGGGCUGUGCUGACCGCUGA
rnacentral:rRNA from 1 species